rnacentral:RNase_P_RNA from 1 species
ACUUCUCGAGAGUUUUUAUCAGUUUUGAAGCUAGGGCAAGUGCAACAGAAAGUACACAGCCGAUGAUUCGUCUUUGACGAAAACAGGCAAUGGUGAAACCGCGGUGUAAGAGACCACGCGUUUGCAUGGCGACAUGCAAAAAGAGGCAAACCCUGCUUUAGUGAAAGAGCAAAUUUGGUAGCUCGUUACUACGGUCCAUAGCUUUAUGCGAAGGAUGGUUAGAAUCAUACAGCAAUGCAUGAUCUAGAUAGAUGAUUGCCACCGGCCCGCCGAUUCGGCGGGCUGGACACAAAAUUCGGCUUAUCGAUUUGCCUGUCCA